rnacentral:lncRNA from 1 species
CUCCGUCAAAGCCUCAAACGCAAAUGCGGUUCUUGUAGAUUCUAUCAUCAUCAAUCAUUUACUUUUCUGUGUAUACAAUGGAUAGAUAUUGGCACUAGACCUGUUAUCGAUCAACACCCGAGUAACUACUGAAUCUUCACACUUGAUCGUCAAGUAAAGAGCUCUAUUAUGUUAUGUACCCUCCACGGGCAAUUCAUCGUCAGAAAAU